AUUAUUUUUCUUUCUGAAACAAGGCAAAAUAAAGUUUAUGUUGAGAGUUUGCGGUAUCGGUUGGGUAUGAAAAAUGUAUUUACAGUUUCUGGCAAAGGAAAAGGUGGUGGUUUAGCAGUAUUCUGGGAUGAGUGCUUCUCUGUGGUAUUAAACAGAUUUGGCGAUCACUUUAUUGACUUGUAUAUUUAUAAGAGUGGUGAACCAAAAUGGCGAUGCACUUUUGUUUAUGGGGAACCGAACGCGAGCCAAAGGUACGUCAUGUGGGAGUUGUUGAGACGGAUUAAAUCUCUUGGCACUGGCCCUUGGUUUAUGGUCGGAGAUUUUAAUGAAGCCAUGUGGCAGUCUGAGCAUUUUUCUAGUAAUACAAGAUCGCCUAAACUCAUGGCGAAUUUUCGGGAUGUUCUCUCUGAGUGCAAUCUAUUUGAUCUGGGGUUUCAAGGUGUGCCUUGGACUUAUGAUAAUAAGCAGGAAGGAAAACGAAAUGUGAAGGUGCGGCUGGACCAUGCGGUGGCAUGUACUCAAUGGUCUUCUAUGUUUCCCCAUUGCAAGGUUUCACAUAUUGUCUCCUCCAGGUCAGAUCAUUUUCCCUUGUAUAUUCAGUUGUUGGGUAAUCAGCCUAAUGUCGCCUUUAAAAAGCAUUUGAGAUAUGAAGCUUUUUGGGAGAGGGAAAGCCGGGCAUUGGAUGAACAGGUUAAAGCAUGCUAG
rnacentral:rRNA from 1 species